UACGGAGGGGGCUAGCGUUGUUCGGAAAUACUGGGCGUAAAGCGCACGUAGGCGGCUUAGCAAGUCAGGGGUGAAAUCCCGGAGCUCAACUCCGGAACUGCCCUUGAAACUGCUUCGCUUGAAUCCUGGAGAGGCGAGUGGAAUUCCGAGUGUAGAGGUGAAAUUCGUAGAUAUUCGGAAGAACACCAGUGGCGAAGGCGACUCGCUGGACAGGUAUUGACGCUGAGGUGCGAAAGCGUGGGGAGCAAACAGG
rnacentral:rRNA from 1 species